rnacentral:tRNA from 1 species
UCCCUUCUGGCUCAGUUGGUAGAGCAUGGUGUUUGCAACGCCAGCAUGGUGUGUGCAACGCCAGGGUUGUGGGUUCGAUUCCCACGGGGGGCC